UGCAGUCCCAUGUUUAGCGGCACAAGGCCCGCUCCAAAUUCUACGGACCCCUAAACAACCGAUUCCGUCAAUUACUCCGCCCACCCACAUAUCACAACAGAUUACGAUCCGAACUUGCAGUCCUACGCGCAGCAGUCCUCGGAUAUAUUCCGGCGACGCGCACCGCUCCUCGAAUUUAUUCCGGCGAAGCAGGCGGAAGCCACAAAUUUCGCCUCCUGACGGAGGGCGCCGCGGAGUCCGACCAUUUAGCCGCGCCCGGAUCGAGCCAGAGCUCCACUCUUUGCACGGUUUUGUCUCUGUUCGCGUCAACGUCCGCUUCCAGACUCCAGAGGCUCCGCUCCAUCCAGUGCCCUACCCGUUGAAGCCGCACUGGUGCACGUCAGCCUGCCCGUCGCCGUGACCUGCACCCAACGACCUCCCAUCCUCAUCUGGACGUCUUCCUGGUUCUCUGCUACAUAGUCGAGUUUAGUUAUGUACAUCCAUGCUGAUCUACAUUAAAACUCCAUCUCCAUGUUUUUGAAAUAGUUGUUCGAUUUAAUUGGUUCAGGGCAAUUUUUUCUGUCAUUUUCAAUAAGAUUUAUGAAUCACAGGAAUGUGACAUGUAGACUGGUACAGAAAGCUGACGAAAUUCAGUGAAUAUCUGUUCAGGCUUUUUGGUAGCCAAUCCAGUUUGGGCAUAGCUAGCCAUUGGUAGAAGUGCUCCAGAUGGGGUUUUGUGCCAUCUAAGCCAUUUAGGUUUUAUAUUAUGAGACUUAGCAGAAAAAUUUCUUCCACACGUAUUUAUCUGACCAUAUGGCUUACGAGGGCAUUCUUUUCCUUGCAGGCAAUGGUACUGGAUAACGCUUGCUGCUAUUCAGAAGGAAUUGAAAACACGGUUGUGUUGUGUUUGUAGUUUUCUUUUGAUUCGUAUCAGGAGGAGCAAGACAACUUACUGCAGAUUGGUCACUAUGAUUAUGUUCAUAAUCAGUGGUCAUGCUCUUGGCAAUAGAUGAUCGGCAAUACCAGUAUACGCAUGUUGCCAAACAUAUGAUGCUCCCUCCUUCUCAUGUCGGAUGUAUGGAGAUGAUACAGAUGUGCAUUUAUUGCUUCAGUGAGGUUAUGAUGAUAAAAUGGCCACUUUAUGCUUCCAUGAGUUCUCGGUUACCUUAUCUACUAUGGUAUCCACGCAGAAUAAUUAUCUGCUUAGGAAGUACGACAAGAACACAGGUAAAAGACACAGGCUGCGUAACACGAGAGCAAGUGCAGAGUUCAGAGAUGCUAGGCCCCUCUGAGUCAUGCAUGCAUUAAAUCGCUAUUAUUUAUAAAAUGAUGAAUUGUUGCUUCUGAUAAACUGGAUAUGUGCCACUCCUGGUAGAUCAUGUACAGACAAUAGUGCUUGCUGAAUGAACACAGUUUGGCCAUGUACUUAUCUGAGCCCAUGGAGAUUUUUUUUUGCAAAGUUCCUUCAUCUACGAAGUGGUUGUUCGAGAGAAGGUUCAAAAUUUAUGCUUGGCAAGCUACUAUAAUUUAUAGCAU